GUGGACAAUCCUUCGGAUAUCCUAUUUCCGUAGAUGUUUCACACACUGUAGCGAUGAAACCCUCCGCACAGCAGAGUUGCAGAGGAUUUACAAACUUGGGGGAAAGCAUGGGUAUAGCUACAGUUACAUGAGAAACCUUUUUCGAAAAGUGGAAGCAGCGCAUAGCAGUAAUCUAGCUUCUUUAGACCAACCUGGCCCCUCCUCUCCUAAUGGAACGGAACAAAAUCCGCCGUCCCGAGCUCUCUGGCCUUACAGACUGUUUAUGAAUAACACCAUUAAAUCCGCUAUGAGAUCAGUGAAUAAGAAGAGAGUAUAUAAAAGAGCCCCCACCGUUUUUAGCAUUCUACGAAACAACAAAAUAAAACGGCA
rnacentral:lncRNA from 1 species